GUGGAAGGGAAGAGGCUAGCCUAUCCCGGGAUGAGCCCGGGGAGGGACCAGGAAAGAACAGAAAGCAUGGGCCAAAGAGUGGGGAGCCUCCUGUAGCUCCAGGGGCCGGGAGAAGAAAGCCCAGGCAGCAAUGGGAGAGUAAAGGAGGGGAGAGGUGAGGCAACAGGCAGGCCUGGGCAGGGCAGGAAGCAGGAGAGAGAGAGGAAGGGAGGAAGUAGAGCAGCCCAAUGAUGAGGGAGGAGCAGGAGGCAGGAGUGGGAGAAGACAAAGGAGGGAUGUUGAAAAGAGGCAGGCAGGAGGUAGGCUGGGGCACUGCGGCCAUGUCCCGCAGCCUUGACCCUUGGGCAAGUCCCUUUCCCUCUCUGGCCAGCCUCCUUUUCUGGGAAGUUCGAGGUUGGACUAGAUGACCUCCAGAGAUCCCCAUCUGAGCUUCCUGAGGUUCCAAGCUUGCCAGCAAGAGGGGAGAUGGCUGGGAGCAGCUGAGGGAGUGGUCCCCAGGCCUGAAGAUGGGGAAGAGAUAAUCUUGGGUCACAGGCCCUUCCCCUUGGGACCUCAUGCUCUCCCUCAGCCCUUUCCUGUAUGGCCUCUUGGCCUGGCGGAACUGGGCUGUCUGCGAGCCCAUCUGUUAGGCUGUGGGCAUGGACUGGGCUGGCAGACAGCCCCCGGCAUCAGGCCUUGCCAGCCUCUUCCAGGAGACGGCCUUGGGCUAAGCUGUCUCAUCUUCAUCGAGAUACCUGGGAGACUCCAGCACUUCAUCUUGUGUAACCCAGAGCCACAAUCCCCCCGAGAAGCAGUUGUCCUCAGCCCUGUGGGUCCUGUCCUGGUACAGCAAGGGGAAUGAAGAGCCAGCCCUUUUACUUGGAGUUUGCUUACAUUUCUCCAUCUGCUCAGGAGGUAAGGCUGGAGGCACCGAUGCCCAUACCUCAUCAACUUGAGGACUGAGAGGGCUCCUCUAGAAGGCUGCAGUCCCUUUCUGGGCAGAGGGAGAGAAUUUAUGCCAGGCUGGCAGAUUUGGAGAGACUCCUGGUCACAGCCCAAGGAAACAAGAGGCCUUGCCCAAUAUAGGCAUUUAUGAGCCUGGAGGCAAAAAAUUCUCUUCUCUUUCAGCCCAGCCCUCUCUCUCCCAGCCUAGCCCUACCCAGCUCAGCCCUGCCACCCUAGGCUUGGCUGGUCCUAGGACCACAGCCCAGCUUGCCUGGCUUGGCCUGGAUGCCGGUGCCCAUGUAGGUCUCUUGGAAAUUCCCAAUGGACAACUUCACAGAUGCUAACUUCCCAGUGGCUACGUCUGGCCUCCAGGAGCCUGAAGUCCCAACUCUGGCUCUCUCCUCUUUUUUCUUACUACCCCAAAUCAGCCCUCUCCUUUUCCUUAGAGACCCUGGUCACAGCU
rnacentral:lncRNA from 1 species